CCUACGGGAGGCAGCAGUGGGGAAUAUUGCGCAAUGGGCGAAAGCCUGACGCAGCGACGCCGCGUGGGGGAUGAAGGUCUUCGGAUCGUAAACCUCUGUCAGCAGGGAAGAACGGUCCCUGUGCUAAUCAGCAGUGAAUUGACGGUACCUGCAAAGGCAGCACCGGCUAACUCCGUGCCAGCAGCCGCGGUAAUACGGAGGGUGCGAGCGUUAAUCGGAAUUACUGGGCGUAAAGCGCACGUAGGCGGUAUUGCAAGUCAAUGGUGAAAGCCCCGGGCUCAACGUGGGAAAUGCUUUUGAUACUAGCAAACUGGAGUGUGUGAGAGGAUAGUAGAAUUCCAGGUGUAGGAGUGAAAUCCGUAGAUAUCUGGAGGAAAAUCAGUGGCGAAGGCGACUAUCUGGCACAUAACUGACGCUGAGGAGCGAAAGCGUGGGUAGCAAACAGGAUUAGAUACCCUGGUAGUC
rnacentral:rRNA from 1 species